rnacentral:rRNA from 1 species
AGCAGCCGCGGUAAUUCCAGCUCCAAUAGCGUAUAUUAAAGUUGUUGCAGUUAAAAAGCUCGUAGUUGAACUUCGGGGUUCACCCAUUGGUCAGGCUUAAUUGUCUGUACUGGUGAGAUGAGUCUCUACCUUCUGAGGAACUUUCAUGCCAUUUAUUUGGUGUGGUUGGAAAUCAGGACUGUUACUUUGAAAAAAUUAGAGUGUUUAAAGCAGGCUAACGUCUGAAUACAUUAGCAUGGAAUAAUGAAAUAGGACGGAUUGAUUCUAUUUCGUUGGUUUCUAGGGUCACCGUAAUGAUUAAUAGGGAUAGUUGGGGGCAUUAGUAUUCAAUUGUCAGAGGUGAAAUUCUUGGAUUUAUUGAAGACUAACUACUGCGAAAGCAUUUGCCAAGGAUGUUUUCAUUAAUCAAGAACGAAAGUUAGGGGAUCGAAGACGAUCAGAUACCGUCGUAGUCUUAACCAUAAACUAUGCCGACUAGGGAUCGGACGCAGUUAAUUUUAUAAUGACGUG